rnacentral:rRNA from 1 species
UACGGAGGAUGCGAGCGUUAUCCGGAUUUAUUGGGUUUAAAGGGUGCGUAGGCGGAUUGAUAAGUUAGAGGUGAAAUGUCCGAGCUCAACUCGGGAACUGCCUCUAAUACUGGUUUGCUAGCGAGUAGAUGCUGUAGGCGGAAUGUGUGGUGUAGCGGUGAAAUGCAUAGAGAUCACACAGAACACCGAUUGCGAAGGCAGCAUACCGGCGCCCAACUGACGCUGAAGCACGAAAGCGUGGGUAUCGAACAGG